rnacentral:rRNA from 1 species
CUAGUAAUCGUGGAUCAGCAUGCCACGGUGAAUACGUUCCCGGGCCUUGUACACACCGCCCGUCACACCAUGGGAGUCGGUAACACCCGAAGCCUGUAGUCUAACCGCAAGGAGGACGCAGUCGAAGGUGGGAUUGAUGACUGGGGUGAAGUCGUAACAAGGUAAC